AACGAACGCUGGCGGCAUGCCUAACACAUGCAAGUCGAACGAGACCUUCGGGUCUAGUGGCGCACGGGUGCGUAACGCGUGGGAACCUGCCCUUAGGUUCGGAAUAACUCAGAGAAAUUUGAGCUAAUACCGGAUAAUGUCUUCGGACCAAAGAUUUAUCGCCUUUGGAUGGGCCCGCGUAGGAUUAGCUUGUUGGUGGGGUAAUGGCCUACCAAGGCGACGAUCCUUAGCUGGUCUGAGAGGAUGAUCAGCCACACUGGGACUGAGACACGGCCCAGACUCCUACGGGAGGCAGCAGUGGGGAAUAUUGGACAAGGGGCGAAAGCCUGAUCCAGCAAUGCCGCGUGAGUGAUGAAGGCCUUAGGGUUGUAAAGCUCUUUUACCAGGGAUGAUAAUGACAGUACCUGGAGAAUAAGCGCCGGCUAACUCCGUG
rnacentral:rRNA from 1 species